CAUGUGUACGGAAGGCGCGGGGUUGCACAGCACCACCAUAUUGUACGGAGACCUCCGAGCGCAGCAAUUUGGCCUGCCAAAUGCAGGAGAACGUACACAAGGAUCUUUGGGGAAUCUGUGUAGAAGCAAACACAAAACAGGAGAGGAAAAGAGCAGAGGCGAGACAAAAAGAAAUAAGCUCUUUUUUUGAGACAAGGUUUUGAUAUAUAGUUUAGGCUGUCCUGCAACACUGGACAAUCAUCCUGCCUCAGCCUCCCGAGUACUGACAGUACAGAUGUGCGCCACCAUGCUCGGUUUAACUCCUUUGAUUUUCUUGAGCUUUACGACUAGCUGGUUCUGGGUUUGCACCCUAUGGGGAUACCCCUUAGGUGAUCUUCCAGGACCUUCCCUCUGCUCUUUUGACAUUUAUUCAAAGCACUGAUUUUACAAUCAAACGAGGGUGUUGGUCUAGAAUCUGCUGAUUACCUGCUGUGUUACUUUUGCACAAGGAAGAUGGCAGCGAGAACCCGGGAAUGUGAUGUCCUGAGGUGAGACGGCUGAGCACAGCGUCCUAAGGACCUGCAGUUCUGCGGCCGAGGAGGCUCCCUGAGCCUAACCGCUCGGGGGGAUGCUCUGGACACUCCUCCUCUGGGUGAGGACUGAGCCGACUGCGCGCGGAGCCCUGGCCAGCCUGCUUUCCCGAGCGCCCGGGACAGCGAGGUCCCGCCGCACCCCUAGAGCCGAGACCCACGCGCGUUCCUGCGCAGAGACCGAGGAGAGCACCCCGGAGGCGCGACCUGCCUGCCUCGGCCUCGUGCCCGCGCCGGCCCGGACUCUGCUCUUUGUCGUUUGCGAUCCUUUUCGUGUGGGCGCCAGGUCGUGGGCUGGAGGCUGGUGGAGCCGCACAGGCGACUUUAGGUGCACCAAUGAAUGAAUGCGUCAAUGCAUGAAUACGCGAAUGGAGGAAUGCACGAGUGAAUGCUUGCGUGAAUGAACGUGUGCCUCACCUGGGAUCCCUCCCACGGUGCUGGAGCCUUGGCUGUGGCUGGUCCUGCUGAAGGCCCUGGGCACCCGGCUGCGCCCGCCCGCGUCCUGCCCGCUCCUCCCCCGGAUCUCUUCACCCAGAGCUCUAGGGUCACGUGAUGCCGAGGCCCUAUUGACCGGAGGUAUCAGGGCCUCACUGUAUGAGGACCUGACAAGAUCGCUGCUGCAGGUACAGGGGAAGGGUCUUGGAUUUGAUUGACGCUGCGUGGCGAGAAGGCAGCUGCCUUACGAGGAUGCUGCAGUACCUCGGAAUGCACUUUCCGAACCCGAACCAGAUGGUGGUGGCGCCACAGGAUCUGAGAAAUGCAGUGGGCGUGGGAGACUCACUGCCUAGGGGAAACACUCCUGGUUUCUUUCUCGUGGAUGAAUCCUUCAAAAAUAUGUCAAUACAAAAUGUUUAAAAUAUUCAUUUUUGCUUCAAAGUCUAUAAGUAUCUUCUAAUAUUUUAAAGCCUUACCUUGGAUUCAUUUGGAGUUUUAUCUUUCUCUGUAGACAGUUGGUAAUACAAUUUUCCUUCUAGAUGUAAGACCACUUUUCAACUUUAUUUAAUAUCGUUACACUGUCACCUCUUCCCACGCCUAUCUGAUAUUCCCUGUGUCUUUUAUCAAAGUUCUGAACCCUCGUUCCAUGGGUCUGCGGACCUCAGAGUUCCCCGCACCGUGGAUCUGGAUCUGGCUUCCUAGUCUCUUUCACUGGUCACUUUGACUUCUUUCUCAGCUCCACAUUUUCUUAACUCAUUAGUAAGCUCUCCUCUCAGGAAGGGCACAUAGAUAUCGCCUUUCCUUUAUCUGUAGAAGGGAAGUUCUUGACUGUUUCUUUUCCAGAUACAUUUUAAAAUCAGCUGGUCUGAAUUUUGUCUGUAUUUGCAUUAAAUAUUUGCAUCAGUUAGAGAAGAACUGACAUUUUAGCAGAAGUUUCGUAACUUAUCUCUCCAUCUGUGUAAGUUCUCCUUUGGUGUCCUUAAUAAAGUUCUAUGAUUUUCUGCAGGGAUCUGCAUGGCUUUUGUUAGAUUCAUUUCUAACUACUUGGCAUUUUCUGAUUCUAUUUUAAAAGGUGUCAUUUAUUUAUUUAUUAUUUGGGGGGUUUUGAGACAGGAUCUCGAUCUACAGUCUGGGUUGGCCUUGAACUCACUGUGGAGACCAGGUCAGCCUGGAACCCGUGGCACUCCUCCUGUCUCAGUCUCCUGAGUGCUGGGAUCACAAGCGGGUACCAACACACCCAACUAAAUGGUGUAAUUUUACAAUGACUUCCAGUUGAUACACAGAGAUGUUAUUGAUUGUAGAUUAAUUUUACUUUUAGCCAUCUUUAUAAAUUAUGAUAAAUUAUUCUGUUAUUUCCAGUACUUUGUAUAAAGAUUGCUAUUGGAUUUUUUUUUAGGACUAAUUUUUACAAAAAUUUUUGAGACAAAGUAUCACUAGGUAUUUCAACCUGGCCUUGAACUCACUAUGUAGCCCAGGCAGGCCUCAAAUUCACAGCGAUCCUCCUGUCUCAGCUUCCCAAAAGCUGGGGUUGUAGGAGUGUGCCACCACUCCCAGCCUCAGUUUUUUAGCAGGUGACACACACCUGUAAUCCCAGCACUGGGGAAGCUGAGGCAGUAGGGUUACCAGAAAUUGGAGGCCAGUUUGGACUAUGUAGUGAGUUCAAAGCCAGCUUGAACAACAUAGCAAGACCGUGUCUAAAAAACCAGAAAAGAAAAAAAAGUUUCUAAUUCUUUAGAAGAAGAAUUUCAAAAUAUCUGCCUAAACAGUGAGCAGUAUACAGCUUGUUCAGUUUUCACAAACUGGACACGCCUGGCCCAAGCUGGUAUCAGCGGCCCUCCAGCGGCCCCCAGGCCCUGCUCCCGCCCCUCCCCCAGUAUGACCACAGCCCUAUUUCUAUGCUCCUGUGUAGUAUUCUCCUUUUUCUGUGCUGUCUGAAUCGAACACUUCUUUGCAUUUGGGUUCUUUCAUUCAGUCUCAGGGCUGUCAGACUCAUCGUGGUUCAUUCUUACUGCUGUGCACUCCCACGAAGCCCCUGUUCUUCAGAGGGCUCUGGUGGCGUCCCAGUCUGGGCUCUUCUGAAAGCGCCCCAUGAACAUUAGUACGCUCGGUUUGGGGUGAAGAUAACGGUACACAUUCCAGUAGAGUAUGUGCCUAAAAGUGGGGCCAAAGGACCAAAAGGUGUGUGUGUGACAGUGACUUUGCAGAGCCAUCACAUUAAGGUGACAAUCGGUUGACCCAGCUGAAGCCAAGUUAGGGGGGAGGGGGCGAAGGAAGGGGCAGGGUACCAAGCCGUCCAUGCAGAAUUCCUGCUGCCGGCUGGUUUUCCUUUGAGUUCUUCCUUCUUUCCUUCCUUCCUCCUUUCUUCUCUCUGUCUGUCUCUCCCCUUCUCUUUCAUCAUCUAAUGAGAAGUAAAAACAAAACCUUUAGAGGGAAUUUAUCUUAUUUCCUUAGCAGUCCUCUGAAACCUUUUGUCUUUUCAUUUUGAUUCACUUGGUUUCACUCUGAUAUACUUAAGGACGUUUCUCUUUUUAUCUUUUUUUUUAUUCACGGAGACUUCGAAAUCCUUAUCUUAAAGCCUCUUAUGGAUUUUAGAAAGUUAUCUGUUCACGUACUGCCUUUCUUGCUCCGAGGUUUCAGUUGAACACUGUAUUCAUAUCACUGUAUCUCUAGAUCUUCUGAUUAUCAAUUGCUAUAGAACAAACUAUUGAAAAUUGCAUGUCAUCUGCGUUAGUUCAUCUUGCCACGGUUAAUCUUGUCUACUAAACUGGCUUGGGAAUGGUCUAGGUAAUUAAUAAUAGCACACUUCUGGGUGUGUCUGGAGGUCAUGGAAGUGUGGCCUUGGGGUCUGUGUCGGCCCCUGCCCUGUUUUCUGGCUGCCAUGAACUAAGCAGCUUUGUUUACCGCAGCCUUCCGCCAUGGUGUUCCUGCCUUGGACCCAGAUGAGCAUGGACUGAAUCCUCUGGAACAGUGAGCCGAAGCUGAGCAGUACAGUACGAUCCUGGGUCCCACGGUCACGAAUUUCUAUAGUAGUGGGAAUGGUUUGUUUUUAUUGAAUAUGCAAAGAUCCUCAGUGGGGAUGGGAGACAUGAACCACUGGGGCAUGUUAGGGUUCUCCAGAGACACAGAACCAAAAAGUUAUUUACCUUUUUAUUGAUUGACUCAGUAUAGGAGUUGGUUGUGAUUGGGGAGGCGACAGGUCCUAGGACUGCUGUGAGUGGGAGAGUCAGGAAAGCUAUCGGAAUAAUUCUACUCAACAGCGCUGGGCAACUUAGUGACUCAGUGAGACACAAAAAAAUGAGCUUGGGGUGGGGGAGGGGAGAGGUCCCAGGAGAAGCAGUACAUUCGCCCACAGUGUUUCCUUCCAUGUCUUCCGUUCAUUGGCUGGUGCUCACCUGCACUGGUGAAGUGGAUCUUUUUAAUUUGGUAAAUUGAUUUCAUUAACCUCUUCUGGAAUCAUCUUCAGAGACACACCCAGAAAUGGCAUUUUUCCAGCUAUCUGGGCAUUGUUUAGUCUGUCAAAGAACACAAAAACUAGCCAGUACAGAGGAUCACUUGAACUCUAUGGGGGGGGGGCGGCAGCUGGGGAUUGAACCCAGGGCCUUUCCACUGAGCUGCAAUUCAGCCCAUUUUAUUGUAUUUUACUUUAUUUUAUUUCUUAAACUGGUGAUCCUCCUGCCUCAGCCUCCCAGAGUACUGGGAUGACAUGUGUGUGACACCAGGCCUGGCUCAUUUGAGUACUUUUAAACGUAACGCCUGAGUUCAGUGCCUUAGCUCUCUGUAACUGUCAACCAGCACCUCUGCACCUACAUUUCCACCAGGCUUAGCGUUCUCAAGAGUGUCAGUGUGAGGCCACGCUGGGUCUGGGACAAGAACAUCAAGAAAUCAGUUUGAUCUUCCUGCAAGUCCUGCAAACCAGGCGGUGCCCAGGAAGAGAGAAGCCAGAUUGCCUUUCCAGCGCAGCUGACCUCCCCCCGCCCCCAGCAACCAGCUGGUUUGGAGGACAGGUUGUUGAUAGCAACUAAGGUACCAAAACAGCUAAAUGCUUGUACUGUUUGACUGACUUUGCGUGACCAAGGCCAGCGGUCAGAGCAUCUAUUAGGAGGGUGACUAUGCAAGAUGGCAAGUAUGGGGGGGUUCCUUCUAUCUUGUUUUUGAAACCAGUAUUAUUCUCAGUGUUUUGCUUUGUUCCGAUUUAUUGUUUUGUUUUAUUCAACGCUCAGUUUUGGUUGGUUUUAUUCCGUUUUGUUUUACUUGAUUUUACUGUGUCUGAGGGAACGGACAGCUACUGUGAAGAGAACAAGAUACACUACGGUAGCCAGUGCUGAUCUCCUGUUAUCCUGCUUCAAAGUUCUGUACCAAUUUUGCUGCUUUAAAAAAAUAAAAAUAAAGAGUGUCAGUUUGGCUCUGGAAGGGGGUUUUGGAGAAGGAGCCUCUAGUGGGCAGCAUCAAGGGGCCCCCAGAAGCUGGCCAGAAGUCACACUGCACACGCCUAUCCAGCCUUCAAGUCUGUCGGGAGCCCUCCCAGAAUCAGAAGUCCUCCCGACGCGGUAUUAUUCUGGAUACAGUCUCAGUGAUUCUGGCAUUGUAGUGUAUUCUUACUGUUUGCAGUACGGGGUAUCAAACCUGGGGUAUGCUAAGUAAGUGCUGCACUGCUGAGCCACAGCCCAGACGCUUUAGCUUUUAUUUGUUUGUUUUGAGACAGGCCUUGAAACUGGUCUUGAACUUGUGAUCGCCCUGCCUCAGCCUCCAGAGGAGGCGGGAUUCCAGGCUUACACGGCCGAGCCAGUCCAGCCGGGGUUUUCCCCGAAAUGUCAUCCACACAUCUGACCCCUGCUGUCCUCAGGCCUCCUGUGCAGCGCAUGCGCGCUGGCUGACACCUCAAAGACAACAUCAAGCGGUGGCGCAGGAGUCGGGCCCUUCAGCCCCGUUCCUGACCUCAGCAGGAGCGCGUCUGUCGUUUCUCCAUGAAGUCACCUUUUGAGAAGAUAGCCAAGGUCGCCUUUGCUUCUUCUUAAUUUUCUUUACACGUUUGUUGUGCGCAUCGAGCCCGUAAAUUUCUUUCGCUUUUCUGCUAAGACGCCAAUUUGGGGUUUCUCUGCGGGCUAUCCUGAGGGUUGGGUGCUCCGCUAAGCUGCGCAGAGGUGCAGAUCCGUCCGGCGCGGUCUUGCUUUCUUUCCGCCUUUGCUCAAGGUCACCUGUGAAGUCUUCGGGUUGUGCACUACUGCCCCCCUCUGGCAGCCCUGGUCCCCCUUCCUGUUCCUAUUUUCCCACACUGAGCACUUUCCAAGGGCCUUUGCAGUCAGCUGUAUCCUCUGUCACUUUUUUAUCUUUUAUUUUAUGAUAGAAUCUCAUGGAGUCCCUAAGUUGCCCUUGUUGGGGUUGAACUUGCAAUCUUCCUGCCUCGGCCUCCCAGGGUACUGGGAUUACACUGCACUCAGCUCAUGUCUGUUAUUUUUAAAGGUUAUGGUUACAGUCAUUGAGAUAUAAUAAAGAGAUGGAAAGAUUUUUAUCAUUGAACUUUUUGUUUGGAGACUAGGUCUCACAGUGUAGCCAAGGCUGGUCUUGAACCUGCAGUGAUCCUCCUGCCUCGGCCUCCCAGAGUGCUAGGAUUACACUGUGUGCAGCUGUGUAUAUUAUUUCUACAUCCCAUGGUCUGUCACUGUUGAACCUCUACACUUUGUGUCAAGCAUGGGCCCCAUGACUGAGCCCCAGCCUAUAGUGCACCAUGAAUUGAUGCAUUUUAUUUAUCCUAUGAAUGUUCAUGAGUGGCUUGAUUAUAUUUACAUACACUCAACUUUAUGCGUUAAAAGUUCUGAUGCAAAGUGACUAUUUAAUACACGUCAUGGUUUUGGUGAGCUCGUUAGAACCCGUUUCCAUUUGAAAAUAUAUUGGGAAUCUGGAGAAAGCUUCCAGGCGCACCCCCCACUCCCCAGCAACUCUUGGCCCUUCCAUAAAGGUAUUGUCAAGACUUUCAUUGCUUUGUUUCCUUGAGCUGGGAUCUGCAUACAAUGUUGGCUACAAGAGUUAAAAAUAUCAGAGCAUUUUUUAACGUUGUAAAUUUUAGAAAGAGGAACUUGAGAACAAAUUAGAUUUUUCUAAUAGAAAUGUUCUGAGCUGAAAGCCCUAAAGGGGAGUAAGGAAACCAAUUAACUUUAAUUUAAAUAAUCAUGUCUUAAGUAGCAAAUGAACCAAGUUCUAUUGUUAGAGAACAACUGUACCAAAUCCCCCAGAGAUUUGUCCCAAAAAGGCGGCGGGCUCGUAUCUCCCUAAUGGAACCCGGUUCUGCUGGCUGCAGUCACCCUUGUUUGUGGCUGCCCUGGACGUCAUUACGGAGAGCACAGGAGCAGAAUGAUGCAGAGAUCAAGGAGAAAUAAUUGCAGAAACUCCCAUCGAUGUUCCUAUUGUUGGUAACUUGUUCUUUUAGGAGCAAGAAACAAAACGGCCCCUACAUUUAAUCCUGGGAAAAUAUAGUUUAAGAAAAUGCAAGGCAAGCUUAUUGUCUUAUUCCAAAACCUUUACAUGGAGUGUAUGAUUUUCUGUUUCUACUUGCUAUCUAAAAAUAAAAUACUUAGGGUGACUGAG